CUCCACAAGUUUUACACAGCAUUCACAACCCCUCUAAAAGGAAGGGGAGAGAGAGAGAGAGAGAGGUGGGUCUUGUUGUGAUCACAUUUUUGCUUCAUUUGGGUAUUCUCCUCUCUUCUUUUUUACAUGACCUCUCUGAAGUUUCCAGAGGAGAAAACCAGGUAAUUAGGGCUUUUGGUGUUAUAAUGCUGAGGAAAAGGAGCAGAUCAUACCAGAAAGAUCAACAAAUGGGUCACCCUAUAUCUGAUGUUACUCCUGAUUCCUCUUUCCAGUCUGAUGUCUUGGGGCAAAAACACAAAACUAAUUCUUUUUUCAAUAUCCCUGGUCUUUUUGUGGGGUUGAGUCCUAAGUCUUCAGAAUCUGAUUCAGUUAGAAGCCCUACUUCACCAUUGGAGUUUAGGAUUUUUUCUAAUCUAAACAACCCGUUUAGGUCCCCAAAAUGUUCCCAUGGGGGACAUCACAAGAGCUGGGAUUGCACUAAAGUAGGGCUGGGCAUUAUAGAUUCUCUUGAUGAUGAUGAGAAAUUAUCAGGGAAAAUUAACAGGUCAUCGCGUAGUAAAAGUACUCUUUUUGGACCACAAAUGAGGAAACCCAGAAUUUUCGUAGCCAUUUUGAUUCGUUUGAGUCACUCAAGUCACUGCCAAAGAAUUAUGGAAUUUUUCCUCAUACCCGCAAGAUUAAAUCAUCCAAUCUCCAAAAGAGAAACUCUAAUGUUCUGUUUGGUAUCGGAGAAAAUCCGUUUGAACCCGUUAAAAUCCUAUCUGUUCACUUGAUUCUUCUGGCUCAUAUAUGACCAGUUUAACAAACCCCAGCAUCAAUCCGAGUUCGAUAAAUCGAACAAACCCAGUGAGUUUUCCUUCUCAAUUGAGUGGAGGGGGCCAGAUUUUUGGCUAAUCAUCACCUCCAAAGCUGAAUCCCACCCAAAUUUCCAAUUCCUCUGCCCAGGAUAUUUUAGGGUCCCUCUCAGCUAGUGAGAUUGAGCUUUCUGAGGAUUAUACUUGUGUGAAAACAUAUGGUCCUGAACCCAAAACAACCCAUAUUUUUUGUGACUGCAUUUUAGAAUGUCACAACAAUAACUCAACCAAUCUACCUAAGAAUGAAGAACAGAGUCCUCCAUUGCCUUUAACAAUGCUGGUUACGUCCUCUAAAAUCCCUACUGCAUAUCCCUCCUGUGACUUUUUGAGCUUUUGUUACUCUUGCAAGAAGAAACUAGAGGGGGAAGACAUUUACAUGUACAGAGGGGAGAAAGCAUUUUGCAGUUGG